rnacentral:lncRNA from 13 species
AAAAAGGUGAAUAUGACCCAAAUUCCAUCAGCAGAUGAAUGAAUAAACAAAAGUCUGGCAUAUCCAUACAAUGGGACUUUAUUCAGCCAUAGAAAGGAAUAAGGUGGAUACAUAUGCUACAGCAUGGAUGAACCUCGAAAAUGUUAAGUGAAGGAAGCCAGACACAAAAGAACCCUGUCCAGGGCCAGCCUUUCAUUUCGUCAAUGAGGAAAACAAAGUCCUGAAAAGUUCAAUGACUUACUCAAGUUCACAUAAACUGGGAAGAGAGCAGGGAUUCUCCAUCUUCCAAACCACUGCUCUUUCCACG